rnacentral:rRNA from 1 species
UACGGGGGGGGCAAGCGUUGUUCGGAAUUACUGGGCGUAAAGGGCUCGUAGGCGGCCAACUAAGUCAGACGUGAAAUCCCUCGGCUUAACCGGGGAACUGCGUCUGAUACUGGAUGGCUCGAGUUUGGGAGAGGGAUGUGGAAUUCCAGGUGUAGCGGUGAAAUGCGUAGAUAUCUGGAGGAACACCGGUGGCGAAGGCGGCAUCCUGGACCAACACUGACGCUGAUGAGCGAAAGCCAGGGGAGCAAACGAG